rnacentral:rRNA from 1 species
AUUGAACGCUGGCGGCAUGCUUUACACAUGCAAGUCGAGCGGCAGCGCGGGGGCAACCCUGGCGGCGAGCGGCGGACGGGUGAGUAAUGCAUCGGAACGUAUCCCGUAGUGGGGGACAACCCAGCGAAAGCUGGGCUAAUACCGCAUAUGCUCUACGGAGGAAAGUGGGGGACCCGCAAGGGCCUCACGCUAUGGGAGCGGCCGAUGUCCGAUUAGCUAGUUGGUGGGGUAAAGGCCUACCAAGGCGACGAUCGGUAGCUGGUCUGAGAGGAUGAUCAGCCACACUGGGACUGAGACACGGCCCAGACUCCUACGGGAGGCAGCAGUGGGGAAUUUUGGACAAUGGGGGCAACCCUGAUCCAGCCAUGCCGCGUGCGGGAAGAAGGCCUCGG